GGGGAAUCUUCCGCAAUGGGCGAAAGCCUGACGGAGCGACGCCGCGUGAAGGAUGAAGUGCUUCGGCAUGUAAACUUCUUUUAUUAGGGAAAAAGUUUAUUGAUUGUACCUAACGAAUAAGGGGUUGCUAAACUCGUGCCAGCAGCAGCGGUAAUACGAGUGCCCCGAGCGUUAUCCGGAAUUAUUGGGCGUAAAGGGUGUGUAGGUGGUCUUAUUAGUCUUUUGUUAAAUUCUUCGGCUUAACCGAAGACGUGCAAAGGAAACGGUAAGACUAGAGGAUGCGAGGGGUCUCCAGAACUCAUGGUGUAGCGGUGAAAUGCGUUGAUAUCAUGGGGAAUACCAAAAGCGAAGGCAAGAGACUGGUGCAUUCCUGACACUGAAACACGAAAGCGUGGGUAGCGAAUGGGAUUAGAUACCCCUGUAGUC
rnacentral:rRNA from 1 species